GACCAUCCAACUCCUUAAGGUACUGUUUGCCAUUAAAGAAUUUGAAUCAGGAUAACUUGAGUGACAGACAGUGAGAAACUUGCAAAUGACAAAUUAUAGCUCGAGUAAUCUAAAAAUGGGUGAUCAACUUGCCAAGUCAAUAUAAAUAUCCUUUGCUAUUAAAAAAAAUUCUGACAGGAGAUGUACUAAGAACUGCAGGUAGGAGUUACCAGAGAACACAUAAGUGUGCAAGAUGACUGAUUAUAUAUGCUUAAAGGAUAUAUAAAAAUCUUGAAACUUCUUGCCAAUGAAUUGCCUAUUGAAAUAGAUACUCCUAAAGAAUAAUGUAUUGUACAUGCCAUAUUGAUACGAUACUAGACACAUAUUUGAUUAUACAAAGUACAAGCCAUGCAUAAAAGCUAUAAGGAUAUAAUUUAUUCCAUUAAUUGCAGUCAAUAUCUUUCACUUUGCAUUAUCCUUCAGGCAUUUCAUAGUGAUACCCUAUAUUUAAAUUCCACUUGCCCUUUUAA
rnacentral:misc_RNA from 1 species